rnacentral:rRNA from 1 species
UACAGAGGUCUCAAGCGUUGUUCGGAUUCAUUGGGCGUAAAGGGUGCGUAGGUGGCGUCGUAAGUCAGGUGUGAAAUUUCGGGAGCUUAACUCCGAAACUGCAUUUGAUACUGCGGUGCUUGAGGACUGGAGAGGAGACUGGAAUUUACGGUGUAGCAGUGAAAUGCGUAGAGAUCGUAAGGAAGACCAGUGGCGAAGGCGGGUCGUCUGGACAGUUCCUGACGCUGAGGCACGAAGGCCAGGGGAGCAAACGGG